GACGAACCGUCCAAACGUUGUUCGGAAUCACUGGGCUUAAAGGGCGCGUAGGCGGGUCAGUGGGUCCGGGGUGAAAUCUUUCGGCUUAACCGGAAAAGUGCCUUGGAUACCGCUGGUCUAGAGGGAGGUAGGGGCAUGUGGAACUUCUGGUGGAGCGGUGAAAUGCGUUGAUAUCAGAAGGAACGCCGGUGGCGAAAGCGACGUGCUGGAUCUCUUCUGACGCUGAGGCGCGAAAGCUAGGGGAGCGAACAGG
rnacentral:rRNA from 1 species